GAUGAGAAGCUUGCUUCUCUGAUGUUAGCGGCGGACGGGUGAGUAACACGUGGGUAACCUACCUAUAAGACUGGGAUAACUCCGGGAAACCGGGGCUAAUACCGGAUAAUAUUUUGAACCGCAUGGUUCAAUAGUGAAAGACGGUUUCGGCUGUCACUUAUAGAUGGACCCGCGCCGUAUUAGCUAGUUGGUAAGGUAAUGGCUUACCAAGGCGACGAUACGUAGCCGACCUGAGAGGGUGAUCGGCCACACUGGAACUGAGACACGGUCCAGACUCCUACGGGAGGCAGCAGUAGGGAAUCUUCCGCAAUGGGCGAAAGCCUGACGGAGCAACGCCGCGUGAGUGAUGAAGGUCUUCGGAUCGUAAAACUCUGUUGUUAGGGAAGAACAAAUUUGUUAGUAACUGAACAAGUCUUGACGGUACCUAACCAGAAAGCCACGGCUAACUACGUGCCAGCAGCCGCGGUAAUACGUAGGUGGCAAGCGUUAUCCGGAAUUAUUGGGCGUAAAGCGCGCGUAGGCGGUUUCUUAAGUCUGAUGUGAAAGCCCACGGCUCAACCGUGGAGGGUCAUUGGAAACUGGGAAACUUGAGUGCAGAAGAGGAGAGUGGAAUUCCAUGUGUAGCGGUGAAAUGCGCAGAGAUAUGGAGGAACACCAGUGGCGAAGGCGGCUCUCUGGUCUGUAACUGACGCUGAUGUGCGAAAGCGUGGGGAUCAAACAGGAUUAGAUACCCUGGUAGUCCACGCCGUAAACGAUGAGUGCUAAGUGUUAGGGGGUUUCCGCCCCUUAGUGCUGCAGCUAACGCAUUAAGCACUCCGCCUGGGGAGUACGACCGCAAGGUUGAAACUCAAAGGAAUUGACGGGGACCCGCACAAGCGGUGGAGCAUGUGGUUUAAUUCGAAGCAACGCGAAGAACCUUACCAAAUCUUGACAUCCUUUGACCGCUCUAGAGAUAGAGUCUUCCCCUUCGGGGGACAAAGUGACAGGUGGUGCAUGGUUGUCGUCAGCUCGUGUCGUGAGAUGUUGGGUUAAGUCCCGCAACGAGCGCAACCCUUAAGCUUAGUUGCCAUCAUUAAGUUGGGCACUCUAGGUUGACUGCCGGUGACAAACCGGAGGAAGGUGGGGAUGACGUCAAAUCAUCAUGCCCCUUAUGAUUUGGGCUACACACGUGCUACAAUGGAUAAUACAAAGGGCAGCGAAUCCGCGAGGCCAAGCAAAUCCCAUAAAAUUAUUCUCAGUUCGGAUUGUAGUCUGCAACUCGACUACAUGAAGCUGGAAUCGCUAGUAAUCGUAGAUCAGCAUGCUACGGUGAAUACGUUCCCGGGUCUUGUACACACCGCCCGUCACACCACGAGAGUUUGUAACACCCGAAGCCGGUGGAGUAAC
rnacentral:rRNA from 2 species